GGGAAGGUGGCUCAGUGGUAGAGUGCUUGCCUUGCAUGCAUGAGACCCUGGGUUCGAUUCCUCAGCCCA
rnacentral:tRNA from 1 species